AUGGAAGGUUUACUCCACUGGGAUUUCAACCCCGGCCUCAAGGUCGAGGACCAGGUUCGUAGAAGAUUCAAAUCCACGGUCCAUUUCUCUCUCCCAUCUACAUCCAAGGAAUUUUUCUUGGUGGUCACCUUCUCUUCUGCCUCCUUUCCCCUUUCUUGUGCUUCGGUUGGUUUGGCUUUGCAAUGUUGCAUUGGAGGUCUUGCUUCUGGUUUCAACGUGACACAAAUUGGAGCAAAGAACUUCCGGUUCUCUGUGGCUUCGAAUAAGGUGGGCCAUUCAUCUAUGCCCUACGGGAUAGAGUCUGGCCAGACUUUGUUUGUCGUUUUGGUUUAUUCAAACAGCCAUGGAAUGCACCUUGUGAUGGGUCUGUGGGCUGGUGCACGCCACAUGAAAUCUCUUAGUUAUGGGCGAGAACACCCAGGGCAGUUCGUUCUAACCUUGGGUUUCUUGAGAACAGUGCUGCUAAGGAUGAUUCGUCCAGCCGUGAGUUGGCGAAGUUUGGUUUCUCCAAACACAUAUCUACUAAUCUACUGA
rnacentral:rRNA from 1 species